rnacentral:rRNA from 1 species
GUGUCAGCAGCCGCGGUAAUACAGAGGGUGCAAGCGUUAAUCGGAAUUACUGGGCGUAAAGCGCGCGUAGGUGGUUCGUUAAGUUGGAUGUGAAAUCCCCGGGCUCAACCUGGGAACUGCAUCCAAAACUGGCGAGCUAGAGUAGGGCAGAGGGUGGUGGAAUUUCCUGUGUAGCGGUGAAAUGCGUAGAUAUAGGAAGGAACACCAGUGGCGAAGGCGACCACCUGGGCUCAUACUGACACUGAGGUGCGAAAGCGUGGGGAGCAAACAGGAUUAGAAACCCUAGUAGUCC